rnacentral:misc_RNA from 1 species
CAAAAGCAUGUAUUUCCUUUCUUUUGAAUCAAGUGAGCAAAGAAUAUACAAUAUGCUGCUGUUUCAAAAAUACAAGAAUGCUUGAGAUGUAGCACAUUUCAGUUGAUACUAAACAAUUGUAAUGCUAUAAACAGAGACAAUUUAAAGUGAAAAAAGGAAAAAUCCUCAUGGCAAACUUGCGAUAUUCAUUGUUGCCACUUCUGUCAAAGGGUUUGAGGAAGCACUGGGUUUGAGUCUAGCACUUUUACACCAUCUUCUUCCAUUGAAAUCUUACUCCAACCCGAAUUUCUCAAGGAGAAAACCUUAGGCCGGUCGAACACACUUCCCCUGAAACCUGUUAUCUUUGAUGAAACCAUGGGCAUCACAAGAACUGCAGAUGCAUUGAUCGAGUCCUCUCCAAAACCUAGUGAUAAAGAACAAGCAGUCUGCCAAACCUUGUUUAGCAUUUCUGUGACCUUCACUGCUAUUCCUUGUACAAAUGAUCUUGGGUCUUUAUUUUGUGCAUCUUCAACUGGUUUGAUCAGCCUGUCUGAUUCGCUUGAAACACUUGAAGACACAAUUGAAACUAAAGAUGCAUUAUCUUUGACCUCAGCACCUCUUGACUCAUCAGGUGCCAGCAAAGAAAUGCCAAUGAAGACACUCAUCAUCCCCAGUAUGAACAUUGUUGUCCUCAGUGCAUCAAAUACCUGAUAUUCCUGAAAGUAGACAAAUCCUGUACAAAUGGAGAAGAAAGUCCAAACAAUCUGAAACAUCGGAACAAUAAGGCAAAUAGUGACAAUCCUUCAUUCAACCUCGUCAUCCAAAAUCCAGCCGUACUGAAAAAUAAAAGAAGCAUGGAGUAAGUAAACCAGCUGUGCAACUGAUAACCAUUAGACAUGGCCAAUCUUAGCAGGUUAGAUAGAGAUUUUGCAAACAGCACUGAGCAUGAUCCCACUGCACCAGAAACUACAGCAUAUGAAAAAGGAAGAAGCAUCUGCCAAUAAGGUCUAAGGUCUUGUCCAGAAACAGCAAUCAAAAGUUCUCCUCUCCUGUAAAUGUAAUGAUGCAAGGCAACAACUAAGACCAAAAUCAUACAGUAAAAAAGGAAAGUCAUGUUGCUGUAUUUCUCCGCCAAUUGCUCUGGCGUGUACACAGGAGACUGGUGGUUGCCAAAGGCAACAAGAAAAACAUUCCCUAGAACAAUAAAGGCUGUAGCGACAAGAACCUUAACAGUCACCAUUUUGUUCAGCACAAAAUAGGCAAAUGCAAUGUUGGAUACAAACUGAACUGAUCCCAAGGCUGCAAGAAGUGACUGAGCAGCAUAUCCAAAUGAAAUGAAAUUAAGGCAAUUUCCAAGAAAGAAAAAUAGAAUACCAACUCUCCAAGUCUGAAAGUAUAUGAUAGGCUUCAAAUGACUCUUCCCACUUGUUCCAUCAAUGUCUAGCGUAGAAUGCCUCUCUCUCUCAGUAUGACCCAAUUUAAGAAGGUUAGUCCCAAAGUUGAUGGCGAUGCUACCAAAGAGAUUGAUUAAAGCUCCAAUGAUCCACUCCCCCAUGGCUGACAACGCGUGAUGCUCCAAAGGAGAGCCCACAUACAAUUAAAAUCCAAAACUACGCGGGUUCGAUGAUUCUCACCAUCAACCCAGAAGCAGAGAAACUAUUCCUGACUUCAGAACAGAAAGCCUGCAGCACCCACUUCCAGGAAACAACAAUUCCCGGAUGGAAAUGAAUAUAAAAUGCUCUGCUUUACCUCAAAAUCCUGAUGAAGGAAGAACAAUGCACACCACAAACUCUUUCUCUCUCUCUCUCUCUCUCUCUCUCUCGUGUGUGUAAUAAUUGAAAUGCAGCAGAUCCAAAGGGGAAGAACAAGGUCUGGUUCUGUACCUGUUUCUUUAUUUACUUUUCUUUAAUUUCAAGUUCUGUUAAGAUAUCUUGUAGAAGUUGUUUGUUGACAUAGAAAAAAAUAAUAAUAAAAACUAGAUUGGUAAGAAAGGAAAAGAAAGGGGAGGAAAGAGAGAAAAUUUGACGGGUCACAGGCGUCUAGAGAAAGAGGAAG